AGUUUGAUCUUGGCUCAGAACGAACGCUGGCGGCGUGCCUAACACAUGCAAGUCGUACGAGAAAAUCCGCUUCGGCGGGUGAGUAAAGUGGCGCACGGGUGAGUAACGCGUGGAUAAUCUGCCUUUAAGCGGGGAAUAACUUACCGAAAGGUGGGCUAAUACCCCAUAAAGCUAUGGAGCUCCGGUUUUCAUAGCCAAAGAGAGCCUCUGCAUGCAAGCCCUCACUUAGAGAUGAGUCCGCGUACCAUUAGCUAGUUGGUGGGGUAAUGGCCUACCAAGGCGACGAUGGUUAUCUGGUCUGAGAGGAUGAUCAGCCACACUGGAAUUGAGACACGGUCCAGACUCCUACGGGAGGCAGCAGUGAGGAAUAUUGCGCAAUGGGGGCAACCCUGACGCAGCAACGCCGCGUGAGUGAGGAAGGUUUUCGGAUCGUAAAGCUCUGUCGGGUGGGAAGAAAUGUAUGGAGGUUAACAGCCUUUGUACUUGACGGUACCGCCAAAGGAAGCACCGGCUAACUCCGUGCCAGCAGCCGCGGUAAUACGGGGGGUGCUAGCGUUGUUCGGAAUCAUUGGGCGUAAAGAGCGCGUAGGCGGCUAGGCAAGUCAGAUGUGAAAUCCCUGGGCUUAACCCAGGACGUGCAUUUGAAACUGCUUGGCUUGAGUAGGGAAGAGGGAAGUGGAAUUCCUGGUGUAGAGGUGAAAUUCGUAGAUAUCAGGAGGAACACCGGUGGCGAAGGCGACUUCCUGGUCCUAUACUGACGCUGAGACGCGAGAGCGUGGGGAGCAAACAGGAUUAGAUACCCUGGUAGUCCACGCCGUAAA
rnacentral:rRNA from 1 species